rnacentral:rRNA from 1 species
GAUGAACGCUGGCGGCGUGCCUAAUACAUGCAAGUAGAACGCUGAAGGAAGGAGCUUGCUCUUUCCGGAUGAGUUGCGAACGGGUGAGUAACGCGUAGGUAACCUGCCUGGUAGCGGGGGAUAACUAUUGGAAACGAUAGCUAAUACCGCAUAACAGUAGAUGUUGCAUGAUAUCUACUUAAAAGGUGCAAUUGCACCACUACCAGAUGGACCUGCGUUGUAUUAGCUAGUUGGUGAGGUAACGGCUCACCAAGGCGACGAUACAUAGCCGACCUGAGAGGGUGAUCGGCCACACUGGGACUGAGACACCGCCCAGACUCCGACGGGAGGCAGCAGUAGGGAAUCUUCGGCAAUGGACGGAAGUCUGACCGAGCAACGCCGCGUGAGUGAAGAAGGUUUUCGGAUCGUAAAGCUCUGUUGUAAGAGAAGAACGAGUGUGAGAGUGGAAAGUUCACACUGUGACGGUAUCUUACCAGAAAGGGACGGCUAACUACGUG